rnacentral:lncRNA from 1 species
AGGAAAUGGAAAGAACAGGAGAGUGGAAGUUCAGUAGUAGCAGGAACACAGAAGUCAUAAGGCUGACCUAGACAAUGGGAAGAUGCAGAAUAUUUUAGUAACGUGCUGUAGUAACUGUCACCUGCAAAAUGUCCAUCAGCACUUCUGCAAAUUCUUUCCACCAUUCUCAACAAGAUAACAAAAGAUAACUUUUCGGACCACAAAGCUGAAACACUUCCUGUGACUCAAAUGGCUCCAGCACAGCUAUUUCCUAGAAGACAUCCUCCCUGAUUUCUUGUGGUGCCUGUUAGAUUGCUGAAGUUGCAGAGAUAAACCAGAUACCAGAAUAGAGGAACGUUUCUCAGAAGGACCAGUGAGACAUCUCCUGACCUCUGUCUCCAUCUGAGGAUAUAUCUGGAGUAGAGCAGAGAAGCAGAGGCACCACAGACUACAGAUACCCAUGGGGAAUGUUGUUCUGCCUCAAGGUUCAGCUCUACAAUAUGGCCAUGGACCGUAUAUACCCAUAGGUUCCUGUGAGUGGGUGAAGUGGGUGAGGGUUUAGACAGAGGCUGGGAUGAGUCUGAAGGGAUGCUGAUCUGGGUGGUGGGGGACUGGGACUCCAUGGCAUACUGUCACAAAUCAAAAGAUAAGUCUAGUUACAGCCAUUCAGCCUUUGAUUUUCUCGCCUUCCUCCUAAACUAUUUUCCCAAGAACUUAUUUGUCUCAGUCUGCGUUUUCCUUAUCUGCAGACAGGGCUAUGAGGCAUACCAUACUACAAUGAAUAUGGGUACUCACUCCAUGCUGGGCUGUGGGAGAAAGUUUUGCACAGCUCUAGUAAAACAGGUGAACAGCUACAGGUUUGAAAAGCCUCCUAGCCUUCCCUGAACCUCAAAAGGCCCAGUGUAGGAUUCCUCACCCAUCCUGAUUAUCCAUAAGUAGAUCAGACAGCAUCUCAUUUCCUAGACACAAACAUUCAGCGGUGUUCUGCAGUUGCUUCAAGAGUAAAGAAAAUUCCUCCUGGCUCCUACUGAGCAGUCACUGGCAUUGGUCAACCAUAGCACACCUUGUCUUUGCCAGAAGCCAGUAUCAGACAAUAUGAAAGGGAACUGCCCCCUCCUUCCUGUGUAUGUAAAUGUAUAACAGUUUACCACGGAAGAUGAUGCCUUUCUGACUCCAUCUACUGACUAGCUUUUACCAAGAACUACUGACACUAU